rnacentral:rRNA from 1 species
UACGAAGGGGGCUAGCGUUGCUCGGAAUUACUGGGCGUAAAGCGCACGUAGGCGGCUUCUUAAGUCGGUGGUGAAAUCCUGGAGCUCAACUCCAGAACUGCCUUUGAUACUGGGGAUCUUGAGUUCGGGAGAGGUGAGUGGAACUGCGAGUGUAGAGGUGAAAUUCGUAGAUAUUCGCAAGAACACCAGUGGCGAAGGCGGCUCACUGGCCCGAUACUGACGCUGAGGCACGAAAGCGUGGGGAGCAAACAGG